GAAGCGUGGGGCCAUGCCUCAGUUAUAUGCCAAAGGGGCGCACAUGAGUUCGGAUUGUAGGCCACAUAUGUGGAUCUCCAGAGGGAAUCUACUUGCAGAUUAUGGUGCAUUUGCAUAGAAGGACAAAUUCUAUAUGCCCUUUACGCCCUGCAAAUAAGAUGAAAAGUAUGCGAAGAAAAGGUUUCAGUGGUGAAAUAUUAAUUUUUGACGAUUUUUCGAUGUGGAUUUCGGAUGAUUAAAAUAGUUAGAAAAACACGUUUUUGUCGGUGAAUACCAGCUACUCGUUUAGAUGAACAUCCUUGCGCACAGCAUUGUUGAAGCCCUCCUUAUAGCGAUACCAUAUUGGGCUCUUAA